GCAACACAUGAAAACAAGGAGGGAAGGUGUCAGCUGAGCAGAGGAGGCUGAAUGAUGCUGGGCAAACCUGACAGAUUUAGGAGCAACGCCGGAGCCGCCGUCCAGCGGACCAGCAGGAUCACAGAGCAUCACAGACGCACCGCUUUGUUGACACCGCUGCUCGCAGAGAAUGCAGCGGAUUAAAAGGUAUCUGUAUCUCGGGGAAGUCACGGCUACGAGGUUUGGAUCUGCAGUGAGAGCCCCUGCUCUUGCCGUUCGAGCUCAAAGGCUUUCUGGGAAGGAGACAAAGCCCUUCACCACCAGCUUGGCACCACUUGUUGCCAAACUUACCAGCCCAUGCCAGAAGACUCCAGGAGAGGAUCAGCUGCAGAUUGGGACCACUGUUGGACAAACACACAGUGGCCUGAUCUCUUCUCUCCGUGCCAGGACCCCGCUGGCAGAGACCUCACACUGCGAGCCCACAGGGACCGUUGCUAUCAGCCACCCAGAGCUGGGAGGGAUGCUCUUGGUGGUGGGUAGCUCUGCGAGUUCACUGGAAAUCGUUGCUUGAGGAUUAGCCGUGCAGCUUGGUCAGGCAGCUGCCUGCUUUCCCCUCGCAGGACAUUAAAUGGGGAGAGAUGCCCUCACUCAGCAACAAAUGCAGGUUUGAGCCGCGAGGUGGGACUUUGUGCUCUGCAGAAGGUGAAGCUAAAGAACUAUAAUGGUCCUUGCUGGUUUUUAGAGACAUGAAUAAUCAGCCAUCAAGCAGCGACAGCUUUCACUUGCCACCGAGUUGCACUACACUGAACCACAGUCAUUCACAGCCCGGUAUAAACCAGCCCCUCAGCACUCAGCACCGUUCAGUGCUCAGGCUUGGUCAGAUUUAAGCCUCAUUCACCAAGACAUCAGCCCUGCUGCUCUGGACAGUGGUCAACCCAGCCAGUGCAAUGCAGCUCAUGCCUUUUUGCUGUAGAUACGGAGAAGCAAGAGGUUGCAGGUUUUCUCAUUGGACUGUUCCCCCAUCAUAUGAACUGGCUACCUCAAUCUGCAGGAGCUUGUGACGCUCCUGGAAGAGAAGAGAUGCUGAAAUCAGAGAAGUAGUAUUCAGAGAGAAGCAGAAGUAUUCAGAGAAGUAGAAAUCAGGGCGAGUUAUUUGACCAGGAAUCCUCAGGGACUAACUGAGAGAGUAAGACCCAGACACUGCCUUUUCCAAAGGAGAAGAGGUGAUGAGAGCAAAGAGACAGAAAGUCAAGAGGUAGUUAGGAGGGCAGGUGGGGGGAGAGACGGAUCAUCGCUGCCAAAAGGUCCAGGUGAGAGGAGAAGGAGGUGACAUACCUGCAGUCACACCACGCCUCCUCUGGGGGCCAGGGACCUGCUGUGGGGAAGGCUAUCUUCCCCCUGCAAAAGCACUCCCCUUCUUCACUUUGCUCAUUUACUUUAUUUUUUUUUUUUACUGUGCAAUCUGGGACCUGCCAGUUUGUCUUACUGUUACCAGUGUCCUGUGUGUCUGUCCUUGCACACUGAACGGUGCCAGGACACCCAAUCUCAUCGUCCG